rnacentral:rRNA from 1 species
ACGGGAGGCAGCAGUGGGGGAUAUUGCACAAUGGGGGAAACCCUGAUGCAGCGACGCCGCGUGAGUGAUGAAGUAUUUCGGUAUGUAAAGCUCUAUCAACAGGGAAGAUAAUGACGGUACCUGACUAAGAAGCACCGGCUAAAUACGUGCCAGCAGCCGCGGUAAUACGUAUGGUGCAAGCGUUAUCCGGAUUUACUGGGUGUAAAGGGAGCGUAGACGGCAAGGCAAGCCAGAUGUGAAAGGCUGAGGCUCAACCCCGGGACUGCAUUUGGAACUGUCUAGCUAGAGUAUCGGAGAGGUAAGUGGAAUUCCUAGUGUAGCGGUGAAAUGCGUAGAUAUUAGGAGGAACACCAGUGGCGAAGGCGGCUUACUGGACGAUAACUGACGUUGAGGCUCGAAAGCGUGGGGAGCAAACAGGAUUAGAUACCCUGGUA